rnacentral:rRNA from 1 species
GACGAACGCUGGCGGCGUGCCUAAUACAUGCAAGUCGAACGCUUCUUUCCUCACCUGGGCUCGCAGUUGAUAGGGGAGGAGGGGUGCGGAAGGGGGAGUAAAACUACCGAAACCUACGCAACAGAUGCGGAUAACACGUGGUAACACGGGCUAAUACCGUAUAACAGUUUAUGCCGCAGUGCAUGACAGUGAAGGGCGCUCUCGUAGGUGGAUCCGCGCUGCAUUAGCUAGUUGGUAAGGUAACGGCUUACCAAGGCAACGAUGCAUAGCCGACCUGAGAGGGUGAUCGGCCACACUGGAACUGAGACACGGCCCAGACUCCUACGGGAGGCAGCAGUAGGGAAUCUUCGGCAAUGGACGAAAGUCUGACCGAGCAACGCCGCGUGAGUGAUGAAGGUUUUCGGAUCGUAAAACUCUGUUGUUAGGGAAGAACAAAUACGUAAGUAACUGAACGCACCCUGACGGUAUCUAACCAGAAAGCCACGGCUAACUACGUG